AUGUCUAAGUGUGGCAGACUUCCUAAAGUGAUACUUGCUAUAGGAGAAGAGUGUCGCACAUGCCGAAAGAAUGUAGAUUUUCUGGAAUACAUCAAUGAUGACUUCAUGGGAAUUUUGGAGACCAGGCCAGAAUUCUCUGGUUUAAAGAGUAUAUUUAGUUGGAUGCAGUCCUACUUUGAUGCGUGCUCAGAUGCACUGAAGCCAUGUAUCUUUUAUCUCUCAGUCUUCCAUGCGGACUACAAUAUCAGACGUAGGCGAUUGUUGAGGCGGUGGAUAGCUGAGGGCGGAAAGUUUCAGCCUAGGCCGAGCUCCACAUGA
rnacentral:rRNA from 1 species